rnacentral:rRNA from 1 species
AAUAAGCGGAGGACAAGAAACCAACCGGGAUUGCCUCAGUAACGGCGAGUGAAGCGGCAACAGCUCAAAUUUGAAAUCUGGUCCUUCCCGGGACCCGAGUUGUAAUUUGUAGAGGAUGUUUCGGGUGCGGUGGCGGUCUAAGUCCCUUGGAACAGGGCGUCGCAGAGGGUGAGAAUCCCGUAUGGGACCGGCACUCAAUCCCGCGUGAAACUCCUUCGACGAGUCGAGUUGUUUGGGAAUGCAGCUCUAAAUGGGUGGUAAAUUUCAUCUAAAGCUAAAUAUCGGCCAGAGACCGAUAGCGCACAAGUAGAGUGAUCGAAAGAUGAAAAGCACUUUGGAAAGAGAGUUAAAAAGUACGUGAAAUUGUUGAAAGGGAAGCGCUCGCAACCAGACCUGCCCGCGGGCGAUCAGCGGCGGUUCUCCGCCGUGCACUCGUCCGCGAACAGGCCAGCAUCGGUUUGGGCGGUCGGAUGAAGGCCCUUGGAAUGUAGCUCCGCUUCGGGGGAGUGUUAUAGCCCUUGGGUGGAAUGCGGCCAGCCCGGACCGAGGAUCGCGCUUCGG